rnacentral:lncRNA from 1 species
CAGAUAAUAAAAGCAUAGCAACUGAUGUGACAUCAUGAAAGAGGUGGAUCAGGAUAUAUUUGGCAGAUAAAUAUGUGCCCUGUGGGUAGGAUCCAAAUGUCAAGGUGACAACAAUAAAUGCAGAGAGGGGAAUCUGAUCUCUUAGCUUCAUUGCUGUGGUAUAGUGAUGAAUGAAACCUGUUAACCUGGCAGCAGCACUGCCUUGGAGGUGCCUGAACUAAAGUAGAGUUAAGGCUGUUCCCAUCAGGCAGAGCAGGGCUCACUCAGCAUCCUGAAGUCCCUCUUCUGAAAGGCAGCGACUGAAGAAGUUUUGGAUAUCUGGAUAAUCUUUUCCUGCAGAAAUC